UGUAGCAAUACAUGGCGGACGGGUGAGUAACGCGUGAGCAAUCUGCCCAUAUCUGGGGGAUAACAGUUGGAAACGACUGAUAAUACCGCAUAACAUGGUUUGAAGGCAUCUUCUUUCCAUCAAAGAUUUAUCGGAUAUGGAUGAGCUCGCGUCUGAUUAGCUUGUUGGUGAGGUAACGGCUCACCAAGGCGACGAUCAGUAGCCGACCUGAGAGGGUGAUCGGCCACAUUGGAACUGAGACACGGUCCAAACUCCUACGGG
rfam:Burkholderia sacchari strain LMG 19450 contig00109, whole genome shotgun sequence.